GGCUCAGGAUGAACGCUAGCGGCAGGCUUAACACAUGCAAGUCGAGGGGCAGCGGGAUUUGUGCUUGCACAAAUUGCCGGCGACCGGCGCACGGGUGCGUAACGCGUAUGCAACCUACCUAUAACAGGGGGAUAACACUGAGAAAUUGGUACUAAUACCCCGUAACAUCAUAUGAGGCAUCUUAUAUGGUUGAAAGUUCCGGCGGUUAUAGAUGGGCAUGCGUUGUAUUAGCUAGUUGGUGAGGUAACGGCUCACCAAGGCGACGAUACAUAGGGGGACUGAGAGGUUAACCCCCCACACUGGAACUGAGACACGGUCCAGACUCCUACGGGAGGCAGCAGUGAGGAAUAUUGGUCAAUGGUCGAGAGACUGAACCAGCCAUGCCGCGUGAAGGUCACGGCCCUAUGGGUCUUAAACUUCUUUUGUAAGGGAGCAAUAAGGUUCACGUGUGGACUGAUGAGAGUACCUUACGAAUAAGCAUCGGCUAACUCCGUG
rnacentral:rRNA from 1 species